GAGUAGCUUCAGGAAACUAGUGGGCUAAUACCGGAUAGGAGCUCCUGCUGCAUGGUGGGGGUUGGAAAGUUUCGGCGGUUGGGGAUGGACUCGCGGCUUAUCAGCUUGUUGGUGGGGUAGUGGCUUACCAAGGCUUUGACGGGUAGCCGGCCUUAGAGGGUGACCGGCCACAUUGGGACUGAGAUACGGCCCAG
rnacentral:rRNA from 1 species